GGUCCCGUAGCUCAGCUGGAUAGAGCAACUGCCUUCUAAGCAGUAGGUCGCACGUUCGAGUCGUGCCGGGAUCACCA
rnacentral:tRNA from 1 species